AAUGAAGUGCCGGUUACUGCCCGGAAAGGAGGGGGAGUUGGUGGCUUGGGACUUCUGAAAGAGAAGGUUUGUAAUCACCACCGGAAGGAAGGGGAGAAGGAACCGACCAGACCAGCAGGACUGGGAAGAGUGGGAGCCCCCGCUGCGCUUGGAGACAGGGAAAUUUGAACACAGAAACAUACACACAGGGAGAGUCCUCUGUGAAUAUGAAGGCAGAGACUGGGGUGAUGCGAAUGUCCAAGACUGUCAGCAACCACCAGAAGCUGGGGGAGAGGCAGGAACAGAUGCUCUCUCACAGCCCUCAGAAGGAACCAACCCUGCCAACAUCUUGAUCUCGGACUCCAGCCUCCAGAACUUUGAGACACUGCUGCAGCUGCUCCAAGCAAGCCCCUGGCUGCUGGUGGCUCUGGCCCAGCUCUUCGGAGUCUCUUGUUUACCUGUGAAGACCCCGCUCCAUCCUGAGUCAUGGCUCAGCCUCCCCUGGCUGGGAUCUGUCUGCUUGAGCUAGCCCGUGGGUCUUUACCCACGCAGCUCCCUCCUCCCGAGUUCCUGACCUCCGCAUCCUCUGAGAGUCAACCCUUCCAGGAGCCCUUCUCUGACCACCCCGGCCCACAGAGGCUUCUCAGAACUCCAGGCUUCAACUCUGGACCAAAUGAUUUAAGGCUGGACAGUCCCUGGCUGCCCACCAGCAGAGGGUGCUGUUUUGGUGGACAAGGGUGUGAACUGUGCUCUCUGGAGUUGGGCUGUGUGGGGGCCCUGCUCCAAGCUGUCCCUCCUGGUCGUUCUCUUCUCCAUGGUGUCCUUAGGGCCACUCAACCUCAGAAUCCCCCAAGCACAGGGCCCAGGUUCCCCUGCUUCUCUGCUCCCUGGCACAGGUGGGCAUAGCCUGGCUCAUGUGGUACCCUGGGUUCCCUGCAGGGCUGACAAGUUCCCUGUCUUGACCCACCUGGGUGAGCAUCAGCAGCCGUUCCUGCAGGAAGGCUGUAUCCUGAGCCUGUGCAGGGGUCUCAGCUACCCCCACCGAGAACCCAUCUGGGUCCUGAAGUACCUGUGCCCUGUUGCCAUCCCAACUCUGCUCCUGGCCUUGCAGGCCUGGCACCAGCAUCUCCUGCAGGUACAUUCAGUCUAGGGGGCUCCUCCCAAUCUUCAGACCACACUGUUAUGACCCUGAACAAGCUUUUCCCUACCAUCCGGACUGUUUUCCCAUCUGAACCGUGAGAGGAGUCAGCUGGAUGAUCGCAGGGUCUUCCCAAAUGUUUGGGAGAGGGGCGUCCCUCUUGGGCGAAACAGAAGCCCCUGCACUGGCCUACUUCCCCAGCUACUGCUCCAAGAAUGAAGACCUGGGAAUGAAGUAUAGGGAGGGCCGAAUGUGUGGGAGGGCCAGUGUUCAGGGCCCUGCCAUGCACCCACUUGGAGGGGGGGGCUCUGGUCAUCCCUACCUCAGGGGGCCCCAGGCUGAGCCCUGGGCCAAGGGACUGUCGGCCCAUCUGGUCCAAACACUGCUGGGCCUUUUCCACUUCUGUCUGCAGUAAGUAGCAGGAUCAUGGGGGCAGAAGGGACUGUCUGCCCGUCCUCUGCCACUCUGCCCCUCCCCCAUCUCUGAGCACCCUCACUUGUCUUCUGCGUCCUGGUCUGGCCUCCUCCACUCCUUCUGUCUCUGAGAUCCCCACAGCCUCUCCUGCUCCAGGCAGGCCACAGAGCAUUCCACCUGCUGGGGGGAGGGCUGAAGGCAGCACAAGUCCCUGGAGAGGGCUGGCCCAGUCUCACGACACACAUUCCCCACCCCCGGCAGGGUAGCAUCUGCAGCCCCUGAUAAAGCAGGCUCACUCCACAAGGCCCUGCCUGCUCCACCAGCUGUGAUAAGCCCAGCUGGGGGCCCAGCAUGGACCUGUGCCCUGGCUUGUACACAAGGGACUGUGCCCUGCAGCUCUGAGGAGCUGCACAGCUGUUAUCACCACUGGCUCCAGAUGUGAAACCCUCCACCUCCAGCUGGACACAAGACACAUCACCUUCUCCAGCCCAGCUCCUGAUGGCUUUGGAGCUCCAGCAAGAGUACAGGGGCUGGGGCUUCCCUGGUGGCGCAGUGGUUAAGAAUCCUCCUGCCAAUGCAGGGGACACAGGUUUGAGCCCUGGUCCGGGAAGAUCCCACAUGCCGUGGAGUAACUAAGCCCGUGCGCCACAACUACGGAAGCCCGUGUGGCUAGAGCCCGUGCUCCACAGCAAGAGAAGCCACCGCAGUGAGAAGCCGGCGCACCGCAACGAAGAGUAGCCCCCGCUCGCCACAACUAGAGAAACCCCGCGUGCAGCAACGAAGACCCAACACAGCCAAAAAUAAAUAAAUAAAUAAAUUUUAA